AGUCGAACGAUGAUCAGGAGCUUGCUUCUGUGAUUAGUGGCGAACGGGUGAGUAACACGUGAGUAACCUGCCCCUGACUCUGGGAUAAGCGUUGGAAACGACGUCUAAUACUGGAUAUGACUUCCGGCCGCAUGGUCUGGUUGUGGAAAGAUUUUUUGGUUGGGGAUGGACUCCCGGCCUAUCAGCUUGGUGGUGAAGUAAUGGCUCACCAAGGCGACCACCGGUAACCCGCCUGAAAAGGUGACCGGCCACACUGGGACUGAAACACCGCCCAAACUCCUACCGGAAGCAACAGUGGGGAAUAUUGCACAAUGGGCGAAAGCCUGAUGCAACAACCCCCCGUGAAGGAUGACGGCCUUCCGGUUGUAAACCUCUUUUAAUAAGGAAGAAACCAAAGUGACCGUACCUGCAGAAAAAGCACCGGCUAACUACCUGCCAACAGCCGCGGUAAUACCUAAGGUGCAAGCGUUGUCCGGAAUUAUUGGGCGUAAAGAACUCGUAAGCGGUUUGUCGCGUCUGCUGUGAAAUCCCGAAGCUCAACCUCCGGCUUGCAGUGGGUACCGGC
rnacentral:rRNA from 1 species